rnacentral:rRNA from 1 species
GCUUGCUGUUUCGCUGACGAGUGGCGGACGGGUGAGUAAUGUCUGGGAAACUGCCUGAUGGAGGGGGAUAACUACUGGAAACGGUAGCUAAUACCGCAUAACGUCGCAAGACCAAAGAGGGGGACCUUCGGGCCUCUUGCCAUCGGAUGUGCCCAGAUGGGAUUAGCUUGUUGGUGGGGUAAAGGCUCACCAAGGCGACGAUCCCUAGCUGGUCUGAGAGGAUGACCAGCCACACUGGAACUGAGACACGGUCCAGACUCCUACGGGAGGCAGCAGUGGGGAAUAUUGCACAAUGGGCGCAAGCCUGAUGCAGCCAUGCCGCGUGUAUGAAGAAGGCCUUCGGGUUGUAAAGUAC